rnacentral:rRNA from 1 species
CCUACGGGAGGCAGCAGUGGGGAAUAUUGGACAAUGGGCGAAAGCCUGAUCCAGCCAUGCCGCGUGUGUGAAGAAGGCCUUCGGGUUGUAAAGCACUUUCAGUGGGGAAGAAAGCCUUGGGGCUAAUACCCUCGAGGAAGGACAUCACCCACAGAAGAAGCACCGGCUAACUCCGUGCCAGCAGCCGCGGUAAUACGGAGGGUGCGAGCGUUAAUCGGAAUUACUGGGCGUAAAGCGCGCGUAGGCGGUCUGAUAAGCCGGUUGUGAAAGCCCCGGGCUCAACCUGGGAACGGCAUCCGGAACUGUCAGGCUAGAGUGCAGGAGAGGAAGGUAGAAUUCCCGGUGUAGCGGUGAAAUGCGUUGAGAUCGGGAGGAAUACCAGUGGCGAAGGCGGCCUUCUGGACUGACACUGACGCUGAGGUGCGAAAGCGUGGGUAGCAAACAGGAUUAGAUACCCUGGUAGUC